ensembl:processed_transcript A730085K08Rik uncharacterized LOC110302203
AAUAUGCAGCCUUUUGGAAACAGGUAGCAGCACAUUGCUCUGUGUUCCCCUGCAAGGCUGAACCCCAGAACCAGCCCCAGACCCCUCUUCUCCAACCUGCAACCUCCCCAGCCUGGCUUCAUAACACCCUACAUACAGCUGGAGAAGGAGGGCUUGUGAUGUAAUGCUGACGUGGCUAAAUACCAUGGAGAUAAGGUGGAUAAAUUCCAGAGAGGCAGAUCAUCAGCUGAUGGCUGUUUUGCAAGGUCAUGCAAGCAUUCGGACAUGGGACCUAGGCUGGCAGAUGAAGGGCCAGGAGUAAGGGAUGAGAGCCUGUCCGGAUUCCUGCCUGAGCAUUCUGCUUCCUGGUCGUCUAGUGAUGAGACAUGAACAAGUAGCCUGCUGCUCCUGCCACCUGCCACCCGAAUGUCACCAUGCCUGCCUGCUACCAAGCUGAGGAUCUAAUUUCUUCUUCCAGCUGCUUCUGUCCCAUAUUUUGUCCCAGCAACAGGGAAAUUAAUACAAUGAUUAUCUUGUAGCUGAACCACUAAGUCUGGUUCCAGACUUAAUUUCUCGGUGCUUAGCAGAUUUCACUCCUCGUACUGGGUUAUUGAUGCAUUCAGAUUUCACUCCUGUACACAGGCAAUGCAGCUGGCUUUACUCCUCAUAUGACCAUCACACUUGUACCACUUCACCUGUUUCCCCAUCAGUGAGAUGCCUCCUUUAUCAACUCUCUGCACUUGCCUGUAGCUGUUACUGAGUCUGUCUCCCCUCCUCACCACUACUCUCUAGGCCUCUUAUUUUCCAUACUUGGUACAAGUGUGCUGGGACCUGGCAUGGCUGCUUAAUCAAAGACACAUAUGAAUAAAGAGUUCUGACACUGUGAGAUGAACCCUACUGUGAAGAUAACCGGAAGCUUUUCAAGGACCUGCGUGACCAUGAGUAGGAAGCUGUGCACAACUGCCACAAAGCUUGCACGGUACGGAGCAGCCAUCCUCGGAACCACAGUGUACAUGGGACUGUCACAGCCAUUCUAACAGACGGGUCCUUGCCAAAGACUCAAGAAAACACACAGCUCACCCACAGGUGCUAGCACUGUCGAGUUUAUUCUGUAAAAUAACUUAGCAAAGACCAAAGAUAGUUAAGAGAUCAUUUACAAGAAAGAUGUUUAGCAACCACUGUUCUCAAGAAUUUGCAGAUUAUAAACUUCACUGCUUCAACCUUUACAACAAUCACUGCGCACACCAAGGAAAUUUUAAUGUUUAGGAAGCUUCACAGGUUUCCAGUAAAGCAAAGCGGCUCAGUGGGGAAGUCAGCUUCUUUGGGCGGACCGGUUUCUUGUGCAGAAAUUUUUUUCUUCGGUGAACAAAAGACUGAGGCUGGUGAAUGCCAAGUGAGAGUCCUGCACAAAGGUUCUACCACUCUCAAGUGUGGAUCUGGCCACCCACAACACUAACUAUAAAAGGGAAAAAAGGCUAUUUUUAUUCUCAAGGUGGUGAAAACAAGCACUUUUGGUCUCACAGUGGCUCCUCGCACUAACCUAAUGCGUUAAAUGAGUCAGAUAAAGGGUCGCUGGGAGGCUGCUUUGUCCCGCUUCAAUAUGAUUUUCACGGUCUCCUAAAGUAUGGAGCUAAUCUUGCUGGCAGUUAAUUACAUGUGAUAUAAUUUUAUAUUUUCAAAAAAAAUUUCCUGACUAGUCAACUAAAAAUGUAAUAGCUCAAGUCAUCAAGUCGUGAUUUGUGAGGUCGAGUUUUUAUUUGUGUAAUCUGCCUUUCUCCUGGACAAACAAUGUUGGUAACAAUGCUCUUUGUUCUCUGUUCUCUAGACAGAAGGCUUUCUCAGCAUCCAGCUACUCCAUGGAGCUUUUUCAUAGUUUCAAAUUGUCUCUCACUUUAACACUGUCAGAAAGUUAUAAAUCCAACGGUGGUUUCUGCCAAACAGUUCAAACAACAUGAUAGAUUUUUUCAUAAUUUUACUUCAAGUAUAUAAGUGGUUAGAUUAACAUAAUAUUCAAUAAAAAAUAACCACAAGUUCUAUCU